CUACGGGCCGCUGCAGUGGGGAAUCUUGCACAAUGGGGGAAACUCUGAUGCAGCGAUGCCGCGUGAGUGAAGAAGGCCCUUGGGUUGUAAAGCUCUUUUGUCGGGAAAGAUAAUGACUGUACCCGAAGAAUAAGGUCCGGCUAACUUCGUGCCAGCAGCCGCGGUAAUGCGAAGGGACCUAGCGUAAUUCGGAAUUACUGGGCGUAAAGCGCGCGUAGGCGGUUAAGUAAGUUAAUUGUGAAAGCCCAAAGCUCAACUUUGGAAUUGUAAUUAAAACUACUUAGCUAGAGUUUAUCAGAGGAAAGCGGAAUACAUAGUGUAGAGGUGAAAUUCGUAGAUAUUAUGUAGAACACCAGUUGCGAAGGCGGCUUUCUGGGAUAGCACUGACGCUGAGGUGCGAAAGUAUGGGUAGCGAAGAGGAUUAGAUACCCUAGUAGUC
rnacentral:rRNA from 1 species